rnacentral:rRNA from 1 species
GGAGUCUGGGCCGUAUCUCAGUCCCAAUGUGGCCGAUCACCCUCUCAGGCCGGCUACCGAUCGUCGCCUUGGUGGGCCGUUGCCCCGCCAACUAGCUAAUCGGACGCAAGCUCAUCCCGCAUCGAUGAAUCUUUCGUCAACCCCGGAUGUCCGGGGCCACGUUAUUCGGUAUUAUCCGCGCGUUGGCACGGCUAUCCCAAUAUGCGGGGCAGAUUGCUUACGCGUUACUCACCCGUUCGCCGCUAUCCAUUGCUGGACCGCUCGACUUGCAUGUGUUAAGCCUGUAGCUAGCGUUCAUC